GCGACCUCAGGUCAGGCGGGGCCACCCGCUGAUUUU
rnacentral:rRNA from 1 species